CGCAAGCCUGACGGAGCAACGCCGCGUGAGGGAGGAAGGCCUGUGGGUUGUAAACCUCUUUUCUCAGGGAAGAAGAUCUGACGGUACCUGAGGAAUCAGCAUCGGCUAACUCCGUGCCAGCAGCCGCGGUAAGACGGAGGAUGCAAGCGUUAUCCGGAAUUAUUGGGCGUAAAGCGUCCGUAGGCGGCUAAUCAAGUCUGCUGUCAAAGCCCACAGCUCAACUGUGGAGAGGCAGUGGAAACUGAAUAGCUAGAGUGUGGUAGGGGCAGAGGGAAUUCCUGGUGUAGCGGUGAAAUGCGUAGAUAUCAGGAAGAACACCAGUGGCGAAGGCGCUCUGCUGAGCCAUAACUGACGCUGAUGGACGAAAGCUAGGGGAGCG
rnacentral:rRNA from 1 species